ensembl:ncRNA C05E11.10 ncRNA
AAUGACUACGUGGUUCAACUAGAUUUGAUGACACCAUCAAAAUCGGAAAUAAAGAAAUUGAAAUCGUUUGGAUCUAGGGAACCACUGAGGGACGGUUCAUGUGAAUCAAAUUGUUCAACAACAUUCUCAUCGCAGGAUUUUGAA